CAGUAGCCACGGUAAUACGAGGGGUGCAAGCGUUAUUCGGAUUGAUUGGGUGUAAAGGGUGUGCAGACGGCUUAUUAAGUCACUUGUUAAAUUCUUCGGCCUAACUGAAGGUCUGCAAGUGAUACUGAUGAGCUAGAGGGUGGAAGAGAGAAGUGGAAUUCUCGGAGUAGCGGUAAAAUGCGUAGAUCUCGAGAGGAACACCAAUGGCGAAGGCAGCUUCUUGGUCCAUUCCAGACGUUCAUACACGAAAGCGUGGGGAGCAAACAGGAUUAGAUACCCCCGUAGUCCCUGUCUCUUAUAC
rnacentral:rRNA from 1 species